rnacentral:rRNA from 1 species
UACAGAGGUCCCAAGCGUUGUUCGGAUUCACUGGGCGUAAAGCGUGCGCAGGCGGUUUUGUAAGCCAGAUGUGAAAGCCCCGGGCUUAACCUGGGAAUGGCAUUUGGGACUGCAAGGCUUGAGUGCGGCAGAGGAGACUGGAAUCCCCGGUGUAGCAGUGAAAUGCGUAGAUAUCGGGAGGAAUACCGAUGGCGAAGGCAGGUCUCUGGGCUGACACUGACGCUCAUGCACGAAAGCGUGGGGAGCAAACAGG